rnacentral:rRNA from 1 species
GAGUUUGAUCGUGGCUCAGGACGAACGCUGGCGGCGUGCCUAACACAUGCAAGUCGAACGAAGCUUGAUGAUUGAUUUCUUCGGAAUGAAAUCUGAUAUGACUGAGUGGCGGACGGGUGAGUAACGCGUGAGCAACCUGCCCUUCGGAACGGGAUAGUGUUUGGAAACGGACAGUAAUACCGUAUAACGUAUUUUUACCGCAUGAUAGAAAUACCAAAACUGAGGUGCCGAAGGAUGGGCUCGCGUCUGAUUAGAUAGUUGGUGGGGUAACGGCCUACCAAGUCGACGAUCAGUAGCCGGACUGAGAGGUUGAACGGCCACAUUGGGACUGAGACACGGCCCAGACUCCUACGGGAGGCAGCAGUGGGGAAUAUUGCACAAUGGGGGAAACCCUGAUGCAGCAACGCCGCGUGAAGGAAGACGGUUUUUCGGAUUGUAAACUUCUGUUCUUAGUGAAGAAAAAUGACGGUAGCUAAGGAGCAAGCCACGGCUAACUACGUG